CUCGUAGGCGGUUUGUCGCGUCUGGUGUGAAAACUCAAGGCUCAACCUUGAGCUUGCAUCGGGUACGGGCAGACUAGAGUGUGGUAGGGGUGACUGGAAUUCCUGGUGUAGCGGUGGAAUGCGCAGAUAUCAGGAGGAACACCGAUGGCGAAGGCAGGUCACUGGGCCACUACUGACGCUGAGGAGCGAAAGCAUGGGGAGCGAACAGGAUUAGAUACCCUGGUAGUCCAUGCCGUAAACGUUGGGCACUAGGUGUGGGGCUCAUUCCACGAGUUCCGCGCCGCAGCUAACGCAUUAAGUGCCCCGCCUGGGGAGUACGGCCGCAAGGCUAAA
rnacentral:rRNA from 1 species